UAGGGAAUCUUCCGCAAUGGACGAAAGUCUGACGGAGCAACGCCGCGUGAGUGAAGAAGGAUUUCGGUUCGUAAAACUCUGUUGUUAGGGAAGAAAAAAUGUAUAGUAACUAUAUACAAAAGAGACGGUACCUAACCAGAAAGCCACGGCUAACUACGUGCCAGCAGCCGCGGUAAUACGUAGGUGGCAAGCGUUGUCCGGAAUUAUUGGGCGUAAAGCGCGCGCAGGUGGUUUAGAAAGUCUGAUGUGAAAGCCCACGGCUCAACCGUGGAGGGUCAUUGGAAACUAAUAAACUUGAGUGCAGGAGAGGAAAGUGGAAUUCCCAGUGUAGCGGUGAAAUGCGUAGAUAUUGGGAGGAACACCAGUAGCGAAGGCGGCUUUCUGGACUGCAACUGACACUGAGGCACGAAAGCGUGGGUAGCAAACAGG
rnacentral:rRNA from 1 species